rnacentral:rRNA from 1 species
UCMUGCAAGUCGAACGGCAGCACAGCAGAGCUUGCUCUGUGGGUGGCGAGUGGCGGACGGGUGAGGAAUACAUGGGAAUCUGCCCAGUCGUGGGGGAUAACGUAUGGAAACGUACGCUAAUACCGCAUGCGCCCUACGGGGGAAAGCCGGGGACCGCAAGGCCUGGCGCGAUUGGAUGAGCCCAUGUUCGAUUAGCUAGUUGGCGGGGUAAAGGCCCACCAAGGCGACGAUCGAUAGCUGGUCUGRGAGRAUGAUCAGCCACACUGGAACUGAGACACGGUCCAGACUCCUACGGGAGGCAGCAGUAGGGAAUAUUGGACAAUGGGGGCAACCCUGAUCCAGCCAUGCCGCGUGAGUGAAGAAGGCCCUCGGGUUGUAAAGCUCUUUUGUCCGGAAAGAAAAGCAAUCGGUUAAUACCCGGUUGUUCUGACGGUACCGGAAGAAUAAGCACCGGCUAACUUCGUGCCAGCAGCCGCGGUAAUACGAAGGGUGCAAGCGUUACUCGGAAUUACUGASCGUAAAGCGUGCGUAGGUGGUUCGUUAAGUCUGAUGUGAAAGCCCUGGGCUCAACCUGGGAAUGGCAUUGGAUACUGGCGGGCUAGAGUGCGGUAGAGGGUAGUGGAAUUCCCGGUGUAGCAGUGAAAUGCGUAGAGAUCGGGAGGAACAUCUGUGGCGAAGGCGACUGCCCUGGACCGGCACUGACACUGAGGCACGAAAGCGUGAGGGAGCAAACAGGAUUAGAUACCCUGCUAGUCCACGCCCCUAAACGAUGCGAACUGGAUGUUGGGUUCAACUUGMAACUUCAGUAUCGAAGCUMACGCGUUUAAGUUUCGCCGCCCUG